UUUGCAUGAUGAAAAUUUCCUCUUAAUUCGCAGUUUCCACUCGAGUCCCGAUCGAGCCUUUUCUGGGACAGAUGAGGGUUUAUUCUUCCUUGGAUGUCUGAUCAA
rnacentral:snoRNA from 2 species